rnacentral:rRNA from 1 species
AUGGGCGACGCCACGGCCCCGGCGUCGGCGAGCAGCAAGACGGCGGAGCUGGACGCGCCGCUCAGCGCCCUCGGCUUUGAGAUCGAGGAGGUCUCGCCGUCGCGGCUCACCGGCCGCCUCCUCGUCACGGACACCUGCUGCCAGCCGUUCAAGGUGCUCCACGGCGGCGUGUCGGCGCUGAUCGCGGAGGGCCUGGCGAGCAUGGGCGCGCACAUGGCCUCGGGCUACCGCCGCGUCGCCGGCAUGCAGCUCAGCAUCAACCACUUCCGGAGCGCCGCCGCCGGCGACACCGUCCUCGCGCGGGCCGUCCCCGUCCACAUCGGCCGCUCCACCCAGGUAUGGGAGGUGAAGCUCUGGAAGAUGGAUGCAUCCACGCAGGGGGAAGGGCCUCAAAUCGCAGAGGCAAGGGUCACGCUCCUCUGUAAUCUACCCGUGCCGGAUGAGAUGAAAAGCGCAGGAGAACCCCUUAGAAAAUACUCUAAACUCUGA